CAACAUAUACCUUGUGAAUAAAGCAGAUUCUCAUCAUUAGAAUCAAAUGUCUGAUGAUUAUACAGGUAAAGGUGAAAUGAAAUACCACCAUUCCAUGCCAUAUGGUUAUAAACUUAUAAUUGUUGCUCGUAGAAAUUUGGAUCUACACAUUUAACUUCACUAUCUGCUUUUCAAGUAUUCUGUAUAUAGUUUUUCCUUUUUCUUCUUUUUCAGCAAAUUUUCUAGAGUUCAACAAUAUAAUUUGCAUGACAAAAGGUUCUCUUUGCCCUGUUUUCCCCUACUUCUUGAACCACAUAAAUGUUGGUAACUGGAGAUACCUAGCAGCACUCGUCGAUCCCAGCAAUGUCCAUUGAACCUGAAAACCUUCUUCCAGCUUUGCAGCCAAAGAAUAGAAGUCUAUGAAUUCUACUUCUACAUGCAGGCAUCAUAAAGUGAAAGAUGCACGUUCAGGGUCAUACUGACAAUACACAUAGCAUAUAUAUAGCACCGAGGAGUGCUAGGAGCAGCAGAAUUUGUAAUGUGUAGCAAUCAAUUAGUCAUUAUCAAUAUUUUCAAUGGUGUGAGAUGACAUCUGAUAGUGUAGGAUUAUUCAAUUUUCUUUUGAUGGUUAAGUGUUGGCUAAAUUUCAAUAAAAGUACUUGCCUUUAGACUUUUCCUAUAUAGCAAGUACAAAAAUAAAAAAU